AUGGCGCACGCGUUGCUCUUCGGUGCGUUGCCGGAGGAUGUGCUGCUGCAGGUGUCAACAAACCUCACCGCCAGGGAGGUUCGUCGGCGCCAAUCGGGUCCGCGCGGCGAGGCUGGGGACGCUGCGCGGCGAAUUCGACCAGAUGAAGAUGGUGGACGGCGAGGAGCUCGACGUGUACGACGGGAGGCUCGCGGCGAUGGCGGCGAGGUACGCCAACCUCGGGGAGAUGCUGGGCGAAGCGGCGCUCGUCAAGAAGCUGCUGGAUACGGUGCCGGAUCGGCUCUUCCCCGUCGUUGCCGGCAUCGAGCAGUUCCACGACGUGACGACGAUGGCGUUCGACGAAGCGCUCGGGCGGCUGCGUGCGUUCGACGAGCGGGUUCGGCGCCGUGGACAAGACGGCGGCGAGCGCGGGGUGAGCAGCUGCUCAUGACGGCGGCGCAGUGGGCAGCACGGGAGCGUCGACAUGGCGGUGCUCGGGACGACGACGACGGGCGCAACGUGGCGUCGGGGAGCGGCGGCAACAGGCGCAGGCGCUGCUACAAGUGCGGGGAGCACGGGCACUUCCGGCGCGAGUGCCCGCAGCUGCGGAAAGGACCGGCGGCGGAGCAGGCUCUCUUGACUGGCGCCAACGUCGACGACGACGGACUCCUCUAG
rnacentral:rRNA from 1 species